UUUUAUGUUUUUUUUUUAUGUUUUUUCUGUAAAAUGUUUUGAUUUUUUUUAUGUUUUUUGGGGAGGAUUUUUAAAAUUUGUUUUUUGAACUGGAUUAGUACCCAGGUAAUCAAAGUUUAUUAAUUCGGGAGUAAAGUUUUGUUUAAACCGAAAUAAUAUUGACUGACUUCGGAUUUUUCUUUGGAACAUGUUUUGGAGAGCCCUCCUUUGUGGUAUUUUUUUUAGGCUCAUGUAUGAUUGUUUAGUUUUUAUUUUUUUUUGUAGUGCUUUUUUGUUUUUUGCAGUUAAAACAGAUAUAUACUUGGUUUAUGGAUUUAUUUUUUUUUAUGUGUUACUAUUAUUAAUUUUUUUUUUUGGAUUAUUUUUUUAUUUUUUUUUGAAAUUGGAAAAAAAAGUAA
rnacentral:rRNA from 1 species